rnacentral:rRNA from 1 species
UGGGGAAUUUUGGACAAUGGGCGCAAGCCUGAUCCAGCCAUGCCGCGUGCGGGAAGAAGGCCUUCGGGUUGUAAACCGCUUUUGUCAGGGAAGAAAUCUUCUGAGUUAAUACCUCGGGAGGAUGACGGUACCUGAAGAAUAAGCACCGGCUAACUACGUGCCAGCAGCCGCGGUAAUACGUAGGGUGCAAGCGUUAAUCGGAAUUACUGGGCGUAAAGCGUGCGCAGGCGGUUUUGUAAGACAGAGGUGAAAUCCCCGGGCUCAACCUGGGAACUGCCUUUGUGACUGCAAGGCUUGAGUGCGGCAGAGGGGGGAUGGAAUUCCGCGUGUAGCAGUGAAAUGCGUAGAUAUGCGGAGGAACACCGAUGGCGAAGGCAAUCCCCUGGGCCUGCACUGACGCUCAUGCACGAAAGCGUGGGGAGCAAACAGGAUUAGAUAGCCCUGGUAGUCCACGCCCUAAAACGAUGUCAACUGGUUGUUGGGAAGGUUCCUUCUCAGUAACGUAGCUAACGCGUGAAGUUGACCGCCUGGGGAGUACGGCCGCAAGGUUGAAACUUAAAUGAAUUGACGGGGU